rnacentral:rRNA from 1 species
UACGUAGGUGGCAAGCGUUGUUCGGAGUUACUGGGCGUAAAGGGCGUGUAGGCGGUUAGUUAAGUCUGGCGUGAAAGCUCUCGGCUAAACCGGGAGAGGUCGUCGGAUACUGGCAAACUAGAGGACGGUAGAGGCGUGUGGAAUUCCGGGUGUAGUGGUGAAAUGCGUAGAGAUCCGGAGGAACACCAGUGGCGAAGGCGACACGCUGGGCCGUACCUGACGCUAAAGCGCGACAGCAUGGGGAGCGAACGGG